GGAUUAGUACGCUGGUCGUGCCUUCGGUAUGUACUGGUGUUACUGGUUCCUACCUUCUGACGAACUGUCAUGUCAUUAAUUUGAUGUGGCGAGGAAUCAGGACUGUUACUUUGAAAAAAUUAGAGUGUUUAAAGCAGGCUCGCGCUUGAAUACAUUAGCAUGGAAUAAUGAAAUAGGACGUUCGAUCCUAUUUUGUUGGUUUCUAGAGUCGCCGUA
rnacentral:rRNA from 1 species